GUCAGGGGUCAGAGAUCAGCUGUUGUUCUGUUUCGCAGGAUUUAUCUCGUUCAAAGCUGAGGUAGUUUACCCCAAUAUCGUGUAUAUGGCAGAGUUUCGUCGCAUAUUGCCAAAAUAUGUUUUGCACAGGGUGAUGGGGAAAAUGCCUGUUCUAGGUGGAUAAACCUCAGGAGAUUAGGAUGCCUUUUCAUCUCUUUAUCCUACAGGGGUAACACCAUAGGAUGAGAUGCUGCUGAGAGAGGAGAUGUGUCCAUCCCUCGCCGGGAAGGAUAUUCCUGAAAGGAGAAAAUGGCCACAGCAGUAGACCUUAUCUUCCACUGGACCAAGGAUAUUUCAUCAGUUCUGCAGAGGGGCAAAGAUCCAGUGCAUCUUAUCUGUCACAGGGAACAUAACUCACCAUUCCUCCUCUUCUUGGCACUGGGUAUUGAUAUGUUUCAGCUCAACAAACUGUACAAUAUCACACAAACCACACAUGGUUGUGGUUAUGCAUUUAACACCUAAUAAACAGCUGUUGCAAAGGCAAAA